rnacentral:rRNA from 1 species
UACGAAGGGGGCGAGCGUUGUUCGGAUUUACUGGGCGUAAAGGGCGCGCAGGCGGCUUAUUUUGUCAGGCGUGAAAGCCCCGGGCUUAACCUGGGAACUGCGUUUGAUACGGAUGGGCUAGAGUUCGGGAGAGGAGCGUGGAAUUCCCAGUGUAAGAGGUGAAAUUCGUAGAUAUUGGGAAGAACACCGGUGGCGAAGGCGGCGACUCUGGACCGAGACGUGACGCUGAGGCGCGAAAAGCGUGGGGAGCAAACAGGGAUUAA